AGCACAUGGAGGAAGACAUGGGGAGAACACAUACUGUGCGUGUACUGGGCUUAAGCGCUGCCUGGGAACGCGAAGUGGUGGGAGCUGUAUGAUGCUCAUUCAGUGCAGCAGAUUGGGAGCUGAAAGUUUCAUCAAUAAAUAUGACUCUGAUGGCUUCAUGUCAGCGGUCAAGAGAGCUGGUGUGAGACUGGAGACUGAUUCUGAGCUAAAUUGGGCAAAACCCAAGAACGAAGCUGCAGCCUGAGGGACAGCUGGAGGAAUGACGUCCUGUCCCACCCCGGGAGCCAGGAGACUUAUUGCAUCUCCUCUUAACACUGCUUUCCAAAAGCUGCUCCAUGGCAUCCCUCCUACACAGUGAGAUACUCUCUGUUCUGGAAGCAGCAGAAAUGCUGUUUUAAAGCGGCACAGACCACUGCUAACUGUAUGCCUGAGAGACCCCAUGGAGAGCGGGAACACCAGAUGUGCACCAGCCCCACCAGCUUCUGGCUUCUUGGACAGAGGGGAGCUGUAAGAUCUCUCCCAGGACUUCCAUGGGCAUCACAGACUGCACUGGCACCAAGCUGGGGUGCAGAGCCUUAGGAGGUAUUCUAUAGCUUAGCAAGAACAGAAAGGCUUGCUCCAGUUUCACAUGGAUGUACUCAAGCAGCCGGAUCCUUCUGCUCUGUCCUAAUUCCUUGUGUUGCAGAUAUCCUGCAGAUGAUGGCAACAGAAAAUGAAAGUUUUCUUUCUAAGCCUCAGUAAACACGUGCAGCAGAGGCCAGGAAGAAAAGAACGGCUUGAUUUUAAACCACUGCUGGUGGAAUCUAAGCUGCUGGAGAUAUGAAUUAUUUUGGCUACACGUACAGCCUGUCAUGCAUUCCAAUCUGCCUUCCUUCUCAGCCUUCAGCGACUGUGGCACAACAAUUAGCUCCAUUAUCUGCAAUGGGACACAAGAUGCAGCCUCUGCAUUUCCACAUCAAGACACCGACAGCCAAUGCCUUGAUCCGACAUGUUCUGUUCAAGGACAGCUUGCAAGACAGCGUCUUGUCUCACACACCGUGAUAUGAGGUCUUCAUCCAUGGUUGAAAUACAGGAAAUGCUGAGAUGGAAAGGCAGUGCCAGAGCUGUGAAGGCCUCUCGCAGUCCGUUGUGUUGUAAACUGGGAGAAAACUCAGCAGGGACAGCUCAUCUGAACUUCCUGAGGGAUUCUGAAUUUAGCCCUUCGCUCAGUAGUGUCACUUCAUAUGAGUAUAAUGGAAAUGGAUCUGGACUCUCCCUUCACUUUUUAUAGUAAAGCUCUUAUCUUGAUCUGUAGCAGCCCAGCCAAGAAAAGACACUGGAAGACCUCAUGGGCAUGGUCUCACGUCUUCAGGUUACAGGCGUGCAGCUCCAUCCACUUGUAGCAGCAUUCCUCCAGUGCUAUCAUGAGAUUCACUGGUGAUGUUCUGUAAAUGCCAGCCAAAAUCUAUCUGCAAGAACAUCUGCUCAACAGUGCAAAACUGAUGUAAUUACCAACCAUCAUCUUUUAUCCUCCUGCUGGGGCAACUGCUCCAAAGCAUGACUUUUUGCCCUGAGCUAACAAGAUCCAGAGGCUCGCUGCUAUGUACAAAUCCCGCCGCUGAAAACUAACAUGGCUGAUACACAAAUUCUCACAGGAUCUUUCAGCUGCGAGGGGUAACACGUACCCAAACAAGCUUCACCGUGGUCAGUGGAGGAGCCCCAAACUCAGGAUACCCGCAACACACACCUGGAAAUACUGCAGCAUGGGCAGAGAAGUGAAGGUAUUUGAAAGGAGACCAGAAAGGACUGCGUGGGCUCUAGGGCUUCAUGCACUGGAUAAGCAGCCCCAAGUAUUUCAAGGUUGCACUCAACUGCCUGGACAGGAACCCGAAGUCUGCUGUCAGUGCCUUUGCUGAGAUCACGGGAGAGUAACGGGAGACAAAGAUCAAUCUGCACCCCAGCUGCACGAUGCUGGCUGCCAGGGGGGAUGCAUGCACUGGGCUGACAUCAAGAGGAAAAGAAAGCAAGCAGGCAAGAAUGAAAAACAGAACUAGCUAAAUAACUGGCAGUGUUUCGGGAGAAGCCCAUCCUAUCGCAGAGAGCGACAACAGCCUCGGUAUUAUGAUUUAUGGAGUGCUGGUGUCACUCUAACAAGCUGAAGGACACACAAUAUCAUCUCCAACAUCAUUAAAAUUCAGAAGCCUCUAGAACUAACUCAUCAACCACCGCGCAUUGUCACACGCUAUGGAGCUGAGCUGUUCCCCACUUGGAAAAUGCCUUCCGGACAGUCGUCAUCCUGAAUCAUCUGAUUAAAAGGAUACAAAGAGAAGGAACGGAAAGGAAAGGGGGAAAGAGAGAGAAGCCAAACUCCACGGACAUUCUGGAAAUGAGGGACCUGCAACGGUUUCAUUCCCAUAGCAGAGCGGUGCGUGCCUACAGUUCCCGUAAGGCAGCUGUUAUUUCUUGCACUGGUUUGUGGGAGGUAACGUAUUGUUGCUCUGUUUUCUUAUACAAAUGCAACCAAACAUAGAAACAUGCACUGUGCACACAGCUCCCUUUCCACUCUGCAGGAGUGCCCCGUGUGUAAGGACUGCCAGGCAGGUGUUGGGUCACUGCAGUUAUCAGUGAGCAGUUACGAUGAGCUCCAAAUGGGCCCAAGGUACAGCGUCACACACACAGUGCUCUUGUUUGGUGUAAAUGUACUCCUUUUCCCUCCGAAUUUGGAAAUAACUAAACAUUAAAAAAAAAAAAAAAAUCUUUGAACACCCUUGAAAACGGCACUUGAAGAUAUAAAAUAGUCCCUAAAUUAUUUUUCUAAAUAAGUUUGAAUAUAGUGUAUAGGUUACUUUUAUCCUAAAUGACCCUGAGAGCUCCCCAGGUUUACCUCUUGCACUGAAGUAAGCGUACCCUCGAGGAGAUCUGUCUCCCAGCCCCGGCUUGCACUGAUGCACGGCAGAAGCAUGCUCAGCAUAAACAGGGACACAGUAACACCUGGAAGUCCCUGAAUGAAAACCACC
ensembl:lncRNA